UUGCACAAUUAGGAAAAAAAAUUGUUGGGAUACAAUGGUUGAGCAGGCACUUAAAACAGUUGGGAUUAACAGCCAACAUUCUUUUCAGCUAGUUCUCGUCUAAAGAUUCAGUGUCUUGUGUUUCUGGUUCGGGGAAAACGUCAUUCGACAACCUUUUAUGUGACUACAAGUGUUCAAUUCCCUCACUGCCAUGAGAACCUACUCUACCUGACUGCCAAAAACCACUAAAACCCUCUCUGUUUUGGUGGCCUGGAACGGUGGCACUUUCUGAUGAGCUCUUUCACCAACUACCAAAGUAGGCAGAACCCCAAGACCGCCUAGAUGAUGUUGUUCGUAGCCUCCCAGAGCUGAAACU